rnacentral:tRNA from 1 species
AUUCUAGUAGCUUAACA